UAAUCAUGUGUGAACCUUGAAGGCCGAGCUGGAGAAGGCUUCCAUGGGAACAGCAGUUGGCACUGAGUCCUAAGUGAUCCGUUAAUUUGGGACAGAGACGGGGUGCCUGACAUUGUCAGGAUUGCUGCUGAUGUACCGUUGCAAGGCAACUCCCUGUAGCGGAAGGGAAUCGUGUUAAUAUUCCCGACCCUUUCCACGGAGAUUGGUGCAUUCUGGUCUCACAUCGGUUUGCAUCCGGCGCGGUAACACAACCGACCUCGGAGACGUCGGCAAGAGUUCUGGGAAGAGUUCUAUUUUCUUUAUUAGGAGUGCAUCAUCCCCUGGAAUCGGGUUGUCCGGAGAUAGGAGACUAGCCUCCGUAAAGCACCACAUUUCUUGUGGUGUCCGGAGCACUCUUGUCGGCCCUUGAAAAUCCGAGCAAGGCAAUAUAAUUUUCAUGGCAGGCCGUACCCAUAUCCGCAUCAGGUCUCCAAGGUGCAGAAUAUUUUCCAGAAAACGGUCUCUGUUU
rnacentral:ncRNA from 1 species